rnacentral:rRNA from 1 species
AACCAGCACCUCAAGUGGUCAGGAUGAUUAUUGGGCCUAAAGCAUCCGUAGCCGGCUCUGUAAGUUUUCGGUUAAAUCUGUACGCUCAACGUACAGGCUGCCGGGAAUACUGCAGAGCUAGGGAGUGGGAGAGGUAGACGGUACUCGGUAGGAAGGGGUAAAGUCCUUUGAUCUAUUGAUGACCACCUGUGGCGAAGGCGGUCUACCAGAACACGUCCGACGGUGAGGGAUGAAAGCUGGGGGAGCAAACCGG